rnacentral:tRNA from 1 species
GAGAGAGGCCUAGCAGGCACCGGAAACUGCUAAUUACCGCUACCCUGGUUGGACCCCGGGGCUCACUCG